rnacentral:misc_RNA from 1 species
GAUAAAUAUAAAUUGAAAAAGGGAAAAAGAAAAAAGAACAAGAAACGGCUUUAAAAGUAUGCUUUACAGCCAAGAACAUACUCGACCACACUUUCUAGUUCCAAUUCGAAAGGCUAAAGGUAGAAAUUUACGACCACAGAGAAACUUCAGGGACAUGUAUUUACCAUAAAUGAUUUAUUGUUUGUUUUCCUUUAUUUACCAAGUCAUCAGGUCUUAGGCGGUCAUAUGUACUAUUGUAUUGUAGUUGGAUUAAUUGCAACUUUAAAGUCGGUAACUGCUGGAAAAAGAAACUACAAGAGAUAAAGCGCAUCUCAAAAACAGUGGAUCAAUCUAUGAAACUCUCUCAGAAUACUUAUUUACCAUCACUAUUGCCACCAUACUGAGUUGAAUUUCCAUUCCAGAAAGGAUUUCUAUCACCGAACUGGCUAUCAUCUUCAUCAUGUUUCAAUGUGUGAAUGUUGCUUCCAAAAUGGGAUGUUGUCGGUUGCCUGCUUCUGUUAUCAUUUCUACCAGUUGAAGAAGUGCUUUGAUUAGGCGAGUAGCUGGAGUAGGGCCUCUCUGAUCUUGUUAGGUUGUUCUGCAGUGCUGGAUUUGGACUAUACUCCCACACGCCAGUUUGAGGUUGUCCAGAACUUGAUGGACUUGUACUACCACCAAGAUAGGAAAGUGGAUUGAUAUAUGAUAACAUCCUUUUUAAGUAAACAAAAUAUCCCCCAUUAUUCGUAAUUGAUGAAUCACUGUAAGUUGUUGCAGCAGUUUGGUCAGAAGAGGACCCUCCUCUGUGGUAAUUUGUGGCUCUCUGACGAGGGACUACUAUCAAUGCUUGUCUAUCAAACAGACCCAACUCUGACAGUGAUUUGCUUAAAUCUUGAUUGCUGAACACCUUGCGAGGAUAAGGAAUAGCAAGAUCAUAUGAACCAAUUUCACUUGCUUGGUUUCUGUCCACGUAGUCUUUGAUCAUUCCUAAAGUGCUUUUCACAGAAAAUUUGUCUUGUAAGCUUAUACCACUGGGCAACCGGAUAUUUAAAUGAACCUCACUCAAUGCAUUGACACUCUUAUUAUUAUCUAAUGUAUUAGUCUUCCUAUCAUCAACACAUUCACCACUUCUUUGUGUAGCUUCAAUUGUUUCAGUAGUGACUAAUUGAGAAUCUCCACCAGGAACAACUGAAUACUGAUUAAUAAUCUUUUCUUGGUCAGUAUGCUCAUCUUCAUUGCUAGAAGACAAGCCAUCAGCUACAGGACUGUCCGGGUCUAGCCUCAGAGGAGUAGAUAAUCCCUUGGUUUCUGCACUAAGAGAAGUUGAUUGCUCAGCCCCAACACCCAGUGACUUGUCAGCAUUAGUUGAUUUUGAAGAUGCUUUGUCCUCAUAUUUAGUACUUUUUCCCUCAACAAUAUGUUCAUGACUGUUGAUUUCUUCUAUUGUCUCAGAAGUAGCCGACGGUCCACCAUCUGAGGAUUGUUCAUGUUUGUCCACUAAAGGUGGUGGAACAACUGUACCUGAAGAACUCCCUUGCUCAGAUGAGCUAAUAUCAGAAAAUCCAGCAGAUGGUUCUGGUUUCUUUGAAGUAAGAGCUGCUGUCAGAACAGUUGCAGUUGUUUCCUGGAUAUGAAGAUUCAACCAUGCCUUCUCUAAACUGGAAGCCAAAGCUUCAGCACAAACAAUUACUUCUGAAGGAUCACAAAAAUAAAAUAAUAUAAUUAAAUUUCUGGGACAUUAUCAUGUACCAAAUCCUAUGUUCACAAAAAAUAAUAGGUUAUAAUAUAAAUAUAAAACCACUUUGCCAGAGUUGAAUUCCAUUGUACCCAAUAGCUGUUAUAAAAGGGACAGAUUUUUGUGGAUCUGUAACAAGUUGAUGAAAGGAUACCUUCUCGCUUUCAAAAGAUUGAAAAAACUAUGGUCUAGACCAGUAAAAUAGAAGAAUGACAGCACAAGUGCAAAUUGACGUGCCUAACAAAUGCAUUCAUGAAGUGCCAUGCCAAACCUACUUGUGAAAAAGAAAUAUGACAUGCAAAGAAGCCAUUACCUCUAGAGCUAUAAACGAACCAAGCUGCUCAAGGCUGGCUUGGUUCGGUUGUUUAGAAAACGAGCCGAGUUCGAACUCGAUUUUUAAGCUUGUUUGAUAAACGAACCGAGCUUGAGCUUCACAGUAUUC